GGUUGAUCCUGCCAGUAGUCAUAUGCUUGUCUCAAAGAUUAAGCCAUGCAUGUCUAAGCACAGACCUUUACACGGUGAAGCUGCGAAUGGCUCAUUAGGCCACCCAUGAUUUAUUAGAUUGUACAAUCCUACUUGGAUAACUGUGGUAAUUCUAGAGCUAAUACAUGCAAGCAAGCUCCGACCCCGUUCGCAAGUUCGGGGAAAGAGCGCGUUUAUUAGAUCAAGACCAAUCAGUACCUCGGUGCUGCUCGUUUGGUGACUCUGGAUAACUUCGAGCUGAUCGCACGGCCUC
rnacentral:rRNA from 1 species